rnacentral:rRNA from 1 species
AGAAUCAACGCUGGCGGCGUGCCUAACACAUGCAAGUCGCACGAGAAAGGGACUUCGGUCCUGAGUAAAGUGGCGCACGGGUGAGUAACACGUGAAUUAUCUACCUCCGAGUGGGGAAUAACUGAGAGAAAUCUUAGCUAAUACCGCAUAACACUUACGAGUCAAAGCAGUAAUGCGCUUGGAGAGGAGUUCGCGGCCGAUUAGUUAGUUGGCGGGUAAUGGCCCACCAAGACGAUGAUCGGUA